rnacentral:rRNA from 1 species
AGUGAACGCUGGCGGUAGGCCUAACACAUGCAAGUCGAACGGCAGCACAGUAAGAGCUUGCUCUUACGGGUGGCGAGUGGCGGAUGGGUGGGGAAUACAUCGGAAUCUACUUUUUCGUGGGGGAUAACGUAGGGAAACUUACGCUAAUACCGCAUACGACCUACGGGUGAAAGCAGGGGAUCUUCGGACCUUGCGCGAUUGCAUGAGCCGAUGUCGGAUUAGCUAGUUGGCGGGGUAAAGGCCCACCAAGGCGACGAUCCGUAGCUGGUCUGAGAGGAUGAUCAGCCACACUGGAACUGAGACACGGUCCAGACUCCUACGGGAGGCAGCAGUGGGGAAUAUUGGACAAUGGGCGCAAGCCUGAUCCAGCCAUACCGCGUGGGUGAAGAAGGCCUUCGGGUUGUAAAGCCCUUUUGUUGGGAAAGAAAAGCAGCAGGUUAAUACCCCGCUGUUCUGACGGUACCCAAAGAAUAAGCACCGGCUAACUUCGUG